rnacentral:sRNA from 1 species
GAAGAAUCUCCUUUUCAACUAGGUUUGGGAACACAGGUUUUCGGGGUUGCUUGCAUGACACUGGGAAGACUCACCGUUGACCCUCGCUAGCGGUGGCCUUGGUUAAGUCGCACUGAGAAAUUCGCAGUUUCCGGUGACAGAUAAAGGAAAAAACCUCGGGAGCUGAACGGCGUUUCCGAAGGGAUUUUCUCGGGUGUUUGUCGGGUGCAGCGCAGCGUCU